rnacentral:rRNA from 1 species
GAAUGCUGACAUAAGUAACGAUAAAGCGGGUGAAAAGCCCGCUCGCCGGAAGACCAAGGGUUCCUGUCCAACGUUAAUCGGGGCAGGGUGAGUCGACCCCUAAGGCGAGGCCGAAAGGCGUAGUCGAUGGGAAACAGGUUAAUAUUCCUGUACUUGGUGUUACUGCGAAGGGGGGACGGAGAAGGCUAUGUCAGCCGGGCGACGGUUGUCCCGGUUUAAGCAUGUAGGCGGAGGUUCCAGGUAAAUCCGGUACCUUUUAACGCUGAGGUGUGAUGACGAGGCACUACGGUGCUGAAGUGAUAAAUGCCCUGCUUCCAGGAAAAGCCUCUAAGCAUCAGGUAACACGAAAUCGUACCCCAAACCGACACAGGUGGUCAGGUAGAGAAUACCAAGGCGCUUGAGAGAACUCGGGUGAAGGAACUAGGCAAAAUGGUGCCGUAACUUCGGGAGAAGGCACGCUGAUAGGUAGGUGAAGCCCCUGCGGGCGGAGCUGAAAUCAGUCGAAGAUACCAGCUGGCUGCAACUGUUUAUUAAAAACACAGCACUGUGCAAACACGAAAGUGGACGUAUACGGUGUGACGCCUGCCCGGUGCCGGAAGGUUAAUUGAUGGGGU